CCCGCGGGACCUUCCUUCCCUCAGGAGCCUGGCUCCGGGACCUGCUGCGGAAACUCAAUGCCGACCACUCAUGAAGGGGCCUUGGUGUGGUGCCUGUGGACAGAAACAGCGUCCCCACACAGAAUCGUGCUGACCUACGAGACUGUGUCACCGUAGGUGACAGCGCGCCGGAAGCAAGUCACGGGAGCUCCCCCAGAGACAUCUCCACCUGCGACUCGUGACUGGAUUCCAAAGGGAUUGGGUAAAAGGUCUCUGCAGAUGUAAUUAAGGAAGGGAUCUUGAAGGGAGAUCAUCCCGGAUCAUCCCCUCACCUUCGUGAUCUGGAGAAGGCCACCCAGCCUGUCACUCAUGAGCAGACCCCAUCUUGACGAAGUGAUCAAGGUCAACACCACCCGUGAACAGGGCCAACAGGGCUGACAGACAGCUCGCCUCCCCCAUGUGGUGCCCCAGGAAGGAUGCCCCGUGGCGUCGGCGGGAUUCCUCCCAAAGGAUCAUGAGGAAGCAGCAAACAGACCACACCAACGGGACGCUCGGCGACACCCGAACGAGCAGUUCUCAGCCCAAGUCCAAAGUCUGUGGACAUGAGGGAGGCACCAAGGAGCCCGUCACGGGUUGGGGAGAGGAAGCAGAUAGUGUGACGGGGGGGGCUGGACCGGAAGGAGCCCUUUAGGGGAAGCACUGGGGAGGCCUGCGGCCAGACUGGAGGGGAGCUCCCACGUGGCAUUGCUGCCUAUUUUCUGCCACCUGACUGUGCCCGGUACGGUGCUAACCAACACUGGGGGUGGCUGGGUGGAGCAUCUACUGGAACUCUUAGCAUUUCUGCUACUUUUCUGUCACCCUAAAAUAAAGACUAAAGAAAAAAAUGCCCUAUGAAAACCA